CAGCAGCCGCGGUAAUACGAAGGUGGCNAGCGUGUUUCGGAAUUAUUGGGCUUAAAGCGCAAGUAGGCGGAUAUGCAAGUGUUUUGUGAAAUCCCCCGGCUAAACCGGGGAAUCGCUUGGCAAACUGCAUAUCUUGAGUCAAGUAGGGGUACAUGGAACUCUUAGUGGAGCGGUGGAAUGCGUAGAUAUUAAGAGGAACGCCAAUGGUGAAGACAGUGUACUGGGCUUGUACUGACGCUGAGGUGCGAAAGCGUGGGGAGCGAACGGGAUUAGAUACCCCGGUAGUCCACGCUGUAAACGAUGUCUACUAGGUUGUGGAGGUUCUGACACUUUCACGAUCGAAGCAAAAGUGUUAAGUAGACCGCCUGGGGAGUACGGUCGCAAGGCUAAAACUCAAAGGAAUUGACGGGGGCUCACACAAGCGGUGGAGCAUGUGGAUUAAUUCGAAGCAACGCGCAGAACCUUACCUGGGUUUGACAUGUAUGGGUGCCUAUCUGGAAACAGAGUCGGCUGCCCUCGGGUGAAACUUACACAGGUGCUGCAUGGCUGUCGUCAGCUCGUGUCGUGAGAUGUCGGGUUAAGUCCUUUAACGAGCGAAACCCUUACCGUUAGUUGCCAGCGCGUCAUGGCGGGGACUCUAGCGGGACUGCCGGUGUCAAACCGGAGGAAGGCGGGGAUGACGUCAAGUCCUCAUGGCCUUUAUGCCCAGGGCUUCACACGUGCUACAAUGGUCACUACAGAGCGAAGCGAGACCGCGAGGUGGAGCAAAUCGCAAAAAAGUGGCCUCAGUUCGGAUUGCAGGCUGACAACUCGCCUGCAUGAAGUGGAAUCGCUAGUA
rnacentral:rRNA from 1 species